rnacentral:rRNA from 1 species
UAGCAUAUCAAUAAGCGCAGGAAAAGAAACCAACAGGGAUUGCCUCAGUAACGGCGAGUGAAGCGGCAACAGCUCAAAUUUGAAAUCUGGCCUCUCGGGGUCCGAGUUGUAAUUUGUAGAGGAUGUUUCGGGUACCGCCUCGGUUUAAAUUUCUUGGAACAGAAUGUCAAAGAGGGUGAGAAUCCCGUCUUGGACCGGCGGUAGGGCCUAUGUGAAACUCCUUCGACGAGUCGAGUUGUUUGGGAAUGCAGCUCAAAAUGGGUGGUAAAUUUCAUCUAAAGCUAAAUAUUGGCCAGAGACCGAUAGCGCACAAGUAGAGUGAUCGAAAGAUGAAAAGCACUUUGAAAAGAGAGUUAAACAGUAUGUGAAAUUGUUGAAAGGGAAGCGCUUGCAACCAGACUUGAGCGCGGCGGUUCCCCCUUGCUUCUGCUUGGGUUACUCCGCCGUGUCCAGGCCAACAUCGGUUCUGGGGGUCGGUCAAAGGCCUUGGGAAUGUAUCUACCCACGGGUAGACUUAUAGACCAGGGUGUCAUGCGACCUCCCGGGACCGAGGAACGCGCUUCGGCUCGGAUGUUGGCGUAAUGGUUGUCAGCGACCCGUCUUGAAACACGGACCAAGGAGUCUAACAUCUAUGCGAGUGUUUGGGUGUCAAACCCGGAACGCGGAAUGAAAGUGAACGGAGGUAGGAAGCUUCGGCUGCACUAUCGACCGAUCCUGAAGUUUACGGAUGGAUUUGAGUAAGAGCAUAGCUGUUGGGACCCGAAAGAUGGUGAACUAUGCCUGAAUAGGGUGAAGCCAGAGGAAACUCUGGUGGAGGCUCGCAGCGGUUCUGACGUGCAAAUCGAUCGUCAAAUUUAGGUAUAGGGGCGAAAGACUAAUCGAACCAUCUGGUAGCUGGUUCUGCGA